UACGUAGGGUGCAAGCGUUGUCCGGAAUUAUUGGGCGUAAAGAGCUCGUAGGCGGUCUGUCGCGUCUGCUGUGAAAACUCGGGGCUUAACCCCGGGCCUGCAGUGGGUACGGGCAGACUAGAGUGCGGUAGGGGAGACUGGAAUUCUCGGUGUAGCGGUGAAAUGCGUAGAUAUCGAGAGGAACACCUGCGGCGAAGGCGGGUUGCUGGGCUGACACUGACGCUGAUGCGCGAAAGCCAGGGAGCAAACGGG
rnacentral:rRNA from 1 species